UCAGGUAGCAGAGUCUUUGGGCAUCAAAGGCAUCUCAUACCACAGGCCUAGCAUCUGCCGUCUCAGGUUGGCCUGGAGGCUGCAGUUAGAAUCGUGCAAAACAGAGAGGAGAGAGGCUCAUCUCUCAGACUCCAGCAUGCGCUUCUCACCCACUUUAGUCUCUGGGAAAGCCUCCUCUUGACCCUUUAAUCCAGCAUAGAAAAUGCCACUUCUGCAGUUGAGACAGCAAGGGUAACACUUGAUCUUAGCCAAAAGGCCGAGAAGCGUCAGCAAGUGUAACAUAGUAGCAACAAACACCCAGUGCUCCAGGCCUCCCUUAUGCUGUCUGUGACCUAUCCUGCUUAGGGGAGUAGGAUUAAAUAUAAUAAAAUGAAAAUAUGGAUAAUUUAAAGACAAGAGUAUUCUUUAAAUCCGUGGGGCUCCUGGCCACUGUUUCUUUUUGCUAGAGCUGUCACAGCCAAGCACUAGGAUAAGUCACUUUAGAGUGUAGGAAGGUCUUCUUUCGUGUCUCUAUAGACUGGGAGUUAGUUCACAGUCAGGUGUCAGUGGGGUCCCUAGCUCCAUUUCCAGAGAAUCUGUGUAGGCCUCUCUACUUGGCUUACAGAUAACUGUCUACUCCCUGGGUCUACACAAUGUCUACUCUGUGUGUGUCUGUGUGGUCCAAACUCCCUGUGUCUAGAACAGUAGUUCUCAACCUUCCUAAUACCAUGACCCUUUAAUACAAUUCAUAUUGUGGUGAUGUCCCAACAAAUAAAAUUAUUUUCAUUGCUACUUCAUAACUGUAAUUUUGCUACUGUUAUGAAUUAUAAUGUAAACAUCUGUGGGUUUUUUUUUGAUGGUCUUAGGCAACACCUGUGAAAGGGUCAUUUGUGCCCCACCCCCACCCAAAGGGUCACAACCCGCUGAUUAAGAACCAUUGCUCGGGCUGGUGAGAUGGCUCAGUGGGUUAGAGCACCCGACUGCUCUUCCGAAGGUCCAGAGUUCAAAUCCCAGCAACCACAUGGUGGCUCACAACCAUCCGUAACAAGAUCUGACCCCCUCUUCUGGAGUGUCUGAAGACAGCUACAAUGUACUUACAUAUAAUAAAUAAAUAAAUAAAUUAAAAAAAAAAAAGAACCAUUGCUCUAGUAGGACACUCGUCCUGAUGAAAUAGGACCUAAUCUACCAUCUCAUUUAAACAGAUCUCCUCUGUAAAGACCCUGUCUCCAAACAAGGCCAUACUCUGGGUGAAUGACAGUUAGGGGCCUCCACCUUAGAGGGACAUGGGUUAGCCCAUGACAACCAUCGUGUACUCCAGUAGAAAGCAGCACUACCUCUCCGUACUUCCACAGACAGGGCCUGGUGAGCCUUCGGCUUCACAAUGUCCUUAGCUCUAGUGUGGCUGGGGAUAGCCCUUCAUGCUGAUGACAAAGCAGCCAGGAACCAAAGCCUGGGCUCUUUGUCAAAUGAUAUCAGCACUGGAUUCAGUUCCCCAUCUCCCAAGUACAGCAGAAGCUGAGGUCAAUCAAUCAAUCAAUAAACCAGACUCCUGGAGCUGCAGGUCGGUGUGCUCUGAGGUGCUCAUGGAGCCACGGAGAUUGGCAGCAGGCUCAGUUGAGUACCAGAAGUUCCCCUGUAGAAUAAUCAAGAUGCAUGAAUCAUUGAUGUCCUCCAUCACCUCCCCGCCCUCUGGAAAGAAAUUAAUGUUAAAAUAUUACUGCUGCACUAACAGUUUUGAAAUGAGAGACCUUGACCUCAGUCUUUUCCCUGACAUCUACCUGCUGCAGCAACAGGGCUCUUUGAUGGAGCACAGGAGAUUGGCAGGAGACCAGAUAAACCACAAGUUUUGACCAACAUUCAAAAAUCCAGUCAGUGACAUUCCACCAGAUUAGACCCAGAUAGAUGUCUUCACCCAAAGUGUUCAAAUCCUUCAAGAACAGCUACAGUCCCAUCUUCUACACCAAAGCUGCUCAGAGGAAGUCUGCUGCCCUGACCCUUGGGAAAGAACAACCGUACUUCUGGCUAGGAGUCCUAACAUUUAUUUAAGAGUAAUGCUAGGGAAUUUGGACCCAGACUCUUCUAAAGUGUUUGUAUUGCUAUGACAAAAUACUUGAGAUAACCC
rnacentral:lncRNA from 1 species